GACGAACGCUGGCGGCGUGCUUAGCACAUGCAAGUCGAACGGAAAGGCCCUGCUUUUGUGGGGUGCUCGAGUGGCGAACAGGUGAGUAACACGUGAGUAACCUGCCCUUGACUUUGGGAUAACUUCAGGAAACUGGGGCUAAUACCGGAUAGGAGCUCCUGCUGCAUGGUGGGGGUUGGAAAGUUUCGGCGGUUGGGGAUGGACUCGCGGCUUAUCAGCUUGUUGGUGGGGUAGUGGCUUACCAAGGCUUUGACGGGUAGCCGGCCUGAGAGGGUGACCGGCCACAUUGGGACUGAGAUACGGCCCAGACUCCUACGGGAGGCAGCAGUGGGGAAUAUUGCACAAUGGGCGGAAGCCUGAUGCAGCAACGCCGCGUGCGGGAUGACGGCCUUCGGGUUGUAAACCGCUUUCGCCUGUGACGAAGCGUGAGUGACGGUAAUGGGUAAAGAAGCACCGGCUAACUACGUG
rnacentral:rRNA from 1 species